rnacentral:lncRNA from 1 species
CCUAUAACCCUAGCGUCAUUGAACCUUAAGUGUGUAGACCCUACGGGUUCGGAAGACAGGCAGACAUGACCGAGACACCUCUCUGGCCAAUAACCAUCAGCGGGGUCUGGAUACCAUGGUGGCUCCCACUUGCUCCACGAUGAUCUCAUCGGAUGAACCACGAUGUCAAGGAUUCAAUCAAUCCCGUAUACGAUUCCCUUUGUCUGUCGGUAUAGAACUUGCCCGAGAUUCGAUCGUCGUUAUACCAAUACCUUGUUCAAUCUCGUUACCCGUAAGUCUCUUUAC